AUUGAACGCUGGCGGCAGGCUUAACACAUGCAAGUCGAACGGUAACAUAAGAAAAAGCUUGCUUUUUUUGAUGACGAGUGGCGGACGGGUGAGUAAUGCUUGGGAAUCUGCCUUAUGGAGGGGGAUAACUACGGGAAACUGUAGCUAAUACCGCAUAAUAUCUACGGAUUAAAGUGUGGGAUCUUCGGACCACAUACCAUAAGAUGAGCCCAAGUGAGAUUAGGUAGUUGGUGAGGUAAAGGCUCACCAAGCUGACGAUCUCUAGCUGGUUUGAGAGGAUGACCAGCCACACUGGGACUGAGACACGGCCCAGACUCCUACGGGAGGCAGCAGUGGGGAAUAUUGCACAAUGGGCGCAAGCCUGAUGCAGCCAUGCCGCGUGAAUGAAGAAGGCUUUCGGGUUGUAAAGUUCUUUCAUUAGCGAGAAAGGUAUAAACGUUAAUAGCAUUUGUAAUUGAUGUUAGCUAAAGAAGAAGCACCGGCUAACUCCGUGCCAGCAGCCGCGGUAAUACGGAGGGUGCGAGCGUUAAUCGGAAUAACUGGGCGUAAAGGGCAUGCAGGCGGUUACUUAAGUCAGAUGUGAAAGCCCCGAGCUUAACUUGGGAAUUGCAUUUGAAACCGGGUGACUAGAGUCCUCUAGGGAGGGGUAGAAUUCCACGUGUAGCGGUGAAAUGCGUAGAGAUGUGGAGGAAUACCGAAGGCGAAGGCAGCCCCUUGGAGAGAGACUGACGCUCAUAUGCGAAAGCGUGGGUAGCAAACAGG
rnacentral:rRNA from 1 species